UCAACUCCAGAACUGCCAUUGAUACUAUCUGUCUUGAAUAUUGUGGAGGUAAGCGGAAUAUGUCAUGUAGCGGUGAAAUGCUUAGAUAUGACAUAGAACACCCAUUGCGAAGGCAGCUUACUACGCAUAUAUUGACGCUGAGGCACGAAAGCGUGGGGAUCAAACAGGAUUAGAUACCCUGGUAGUCCACGCCCUAAACUAUGGAUACUCGACAUAUGCGAUACACUGUAUGUGUCUGAGCGAAAGCAUUAAGUAUCCCACCUGGGAAGUACGUUCGCAAGAAUGAAACUCAAAGGAAUUGGCGGGGGUCCGCACAAGUGGUGGAGUAUGUGGUUUAAUUCGAUGAUACGCGAGGAACCUUACCUGGGCUAGAAUGCUGGGAGAUCGCUAGUGAAAGCUAGUUUUGUAGCAAUACACUGCCAGUAAGGUGCUGCAUGGCCGUCGUCAGCUCGUGCCGUGAGGUGUUGGGUUAAGUCCCGCAACGAGCGCAACCCCUAUCUUUAGUUGCCAACAGGUAAUGCUGGGAACUCUAAAGAAACUGCCGCCGUAAGGUGUGAGGAAGGAGGGGAUGAUGUCAGGUCAUCAUGGCCUUUAUGCCCAGGGCUACACACGUACUACAAUGGGGAAGACAAAGGGCUGCAACAUAGCGAUAUGAGGCCAAUCCCAA
rnacentral:rRNA from 1 species